rnacentral:misc_RNA from 1 species
CUGAGUGAGGGUUCCUUCGGGGCCCAACCUCCCACCCUUGUAUACUAUACCAAGUUGCUUCGGCGGGCCCGCCGUUAACGCGGCCGCCGGGGGGGACCCUCCCCCCCGGGCGAGCGCCCGCCGGAGACCCCAACGUGAACACUGUCUGAAGUUUUGUCGUCUGAGUUCGAUUGUAUCGCAAUCAGUUA